rnacentral:rRNA from 1 species
CACGAACCGUCCAAACGUUAUUCGGAAUUAUUGGGCUUAAAGGGUGCGUAGGCGGCGCGUUAAGUCGGGUGUGAAAUCCCACAGCUCAACUGUGGAACUGCGCCCGAUACUGGCGUGCUUGAGGGAGACAGAGGUAAGCGGAACUGAUGGUGGAGCGGUGAAAUGCGUUGAUAUCAUCAGGAACACCAGUGGCGAAAGCGGCUUACUGGGUCUCUUCUGACGCUGAGGCACGAAAGCUAGGGUAGCGAACGGG